CCCGCCUCCGGGGAAACCCCUCCCUGCCCGCGGCCCCCCCCGGCCCUUUGUGCCUGGAGAAGGAAGGGAAAAGGAUAUUUCCCAAUUCUUUCCUUUAUUUUUAUGCCCUUUAUUUUAUGUUAUUUUUCUUUUGUCGUUCCUCCCUGCCCCGCCGGGCACAGCAGGCCCACGCACGUCCACUGCGCGGAGCCGAGAUGAGCGAUUUGAGGCUCUGCUGGUGAACUUGCAGGAAAGAAAAGGCAAGAAAAAUUGUGUGCUUCCAACAAACGACAAGCAGAUUCCUAUGGCGUGGCAGCUGAGCAAGAAACGGUUGCACCGACUGGGUGCUGCGGGACAGGCAUCCUGACUGCACGUCCUUGCAUUUCCCGUACAAAGCAGCCCCUUGCAGAAGCGCUGGGCCCCAGCAGCUCCUCCUCAAGCUUUCCUCAGGCCCGGCUGGGAUCCCUUCUGGGGGAAAUGCCGUUUUAAACACGAGGCUUCUCUUCCCUUCUCAAAGUAAAACCCGUACAGAGAUUAAUAGUCCUCCUUCCCUUUGGUGGAUGACAGCUCAUUUCAGAUCAGUGGGGAACAUCUCUGCCUUGAAAGUAUCACUUCUUAAUUUAACCCAAUCUCUGUUACUCUCAGAUAUAUGGUGUGAUUUGGGGGUGGUUCUCUGCAGAGCUAGGAAUUGGAUUAGAUGACCCUCAUGGGUCCUUUCCAACUUGGGAUAGUCUGUGAUUAUGUGAUUUUAGAAGAUUCCCCAGAGACAACAACAAUAAAUAAAUAAAUAAAUAAAUAAAUAGCUCUUAUUCUUGGUGACAGUGCUUCCUUUGACAGAUGGAAAAUCAAAAAAAAAAAAAAAAAAACAGCAAAGCACAA